AGACCAGGCCAGGUCAUCAGUGGAGGUGCAGCUUCAGGAUUAGUUGAAGCCCAGGACUGAAGGGGUCAUGCAGAAAAGUUGAGGCUUAGCACCAUGAGGAGAGCUUAUGAGAGGGUAUGGGUGAGAGUGCAGCCCAGUUGUAGCAGAAGACCCUAGUGUCUUGGAGAUGCCAGCACCCUGCGUGACCACCAAGAACAGCAGCAGUGGAGCUGUGUGUGUGUGUGUGUGUGUGUGUGUGUGUGUGUGCGCGCGCUGCAGAGGGUGGAGCUGGAGAUGUGACUCAAGCUCCUUGUAGGAUAGGAGUUCAGAAGAUGGAGAGCAGUCUCAAACUCUCCCAAACACUGCUCACAUUGGUGAGCCAAGUCUUGGAUGGACCCAUCCCUGCGAGCUGCUGCUGGUCUCUACCCUUGGAGCCCCUCUUACCCAGCAGACAAUGCUUUGGGAUCUUUCACAGCCAUCUUGGCACAGAGGAGGUCAUCACUGAUGUCAUCAUUCAAGAGCUCUAAAAGGAAAGGCUCUUAUCUUACCAGAGAAUGCCUGGCACUUCCUAUCUUCCCGGUUGCUACAUGGCGUCUCCCUGUGGCUUCUCUCUGCCUCCUGUCCCCAGAAUUUUCCUUGCCUGGUAGCCCCGUCUAUACUUCCUGCCUGGUUACUAUCCUCUCAGUGAGUAAGAGAAACAUACAGAAGGACAUUCCCCCAUCAU